CAGGUGUAGCGGUGAAAUGCGUAGAGAUCUGGAGGAAUACCGGUGGCGAAGGCGGCCCCCUGGACAAAGACUGACGCUCAGGUGCGAAAGCGUGGGGAGCAAACAGGAUUUAGAUACCCUGGUAGUCCACGCCGUAAACGAUGUCGACUUGGAGGUUGUGCCCUUGAGGCGUGGCUUCCGGAGCUAACGCGUUAAGUCGACCGCCUGGGGAGUACGGCCGCAAGGUUAAAACUCAAAUGAAUUGACGGGGGCCCGCACAAGCGGUGGAGCAUGUGGUUUAAUUCGAUGCAACGCGAAGAACCUUACCUACUCUUGACAUCCAGAGAACUUAGCAGAGAUGCUUUGGUGCCUUCGGGAACUCUGAGACAGGUGCUGCAUGGCUGUCGUCAGCUCGUGUUGUGAAAUGUUGGGUUAAGUCCCGCAACGAGCGCAACCCUUAUCCUUUGUUGCCAGCGGUCCGGCCGGGAACUCAAAGGAGACUGCCAGUGAUAAACUGGAGGAAGGUGGGGAUGACGUCAAGUCAUCAUGGCCCUUACGAGUAGGGCUACACACGUGCUACAAUGGCGCAUACAAAGAGAAGCGACCUCGCGAGAGCAAGCGGACCUCAUAAAGUGCGUCGUAGUCCGGAUUGGAGUCUGCAACUCGACUCCAUGAAGUCGGAAUCGCUAGUAAUCGUAGAUCAGAAUGCUACGGUGAAUACGUUCCCGGGCCUUGUACACACCGCCCGUCACACCAUGGGAGUGGGUUGCAAAAGAAGUAGGUAGCUUAACCUUCGGGAGGGCGCUUACCACUUGGAUUAAGAGGG
rnacentral:rRNA from 1 species